GGGCCAUUAGCUCAAUUGGUAGAGCAGCUGACUCUUAAUCAGUAGGUUCAAGGUUCGAGUCCUUGAUGGCCCA
rnacentral:tRNA from 1 species